UACGUAGGGUGCGAGCGUUAAUCGGAAUUACUGGGCGUAAAGCGUGCGCAGGCGGUUAUUUAAGUCAGGCGUGAAAGCCCUGGGCUUAACCUAGGAAUUGCGCUUGAGACUGGAUAGCUUGGAGUGCGGCAGAGGGAGGUGGAAUUCCACGUGUAGCAGUGAAAUGCGUAGAGAUGUGGAGGAACACCGAUGGCGAAGGCAGCCUCCUGGGCCAGCACUGACGCUCAUGCACGAAAGCCGUGGGGAGCAAACAGG
rnacentral:rRNA from 1 species